rnacentral:rRNA from 1 species
AUCUACGGCCAUACCACCCUGAACACGCCCCAUCUCGUCUGAUCUCAGAAACUAAGCAGGGUCGGGUCUGGUUAGUACUUGGAUGGGAGAACUAUGAUCUCUGCGAACA